rnacentral:rRNA from 1 species
UACGGAGGGUGCAAGCGUUAUCCGGAAUCACUGGGUGUAAAGCGUGCGUAGGCGGCUGUGUAAGUCAGGGGUGAAAGCCCGGAGCUUAACCUCGGAACGGCAUUUGAUACUGGGCAGCUCGAGUUGAGUAGAGGAGAGGGGAAUUUGCGGUGUAGCGGUGAAAUGCGUAGAGAUCGGAAGGAACACCAGUGGCGAAGGCGGCUCUCUGGACUCAAACUGACGCUGAGGUACGAAAGCGUGGGUAGCAAACAGG